AAAAAGAUAAGCUAAAAUAAAGCUUUUAGGUUCAUACCCUAACUAUAGAUUAAUCUUCUUUUUA
rnacentral:tRNA from 1 species